AUUGAACGCUGGCGGCAUGCCUAACACAUGCAAGUCGAACGGCAGCACAGUGGAGCUUGCUCCAUGGGUGGCGAGUGGCGGACGGGUGAGUAAUGCAUCGGGACCUACCUAGACGUGGGGGAUAACGUAGGGAAACUUACGCUAAUACCGCAUACGUCCUACGGGAGAAAGCAGGGGACCUUCGGGCCUUGCGCGGUUAGACGGACCGAUGUUCGAUUAGCUUGUUGGUGAGGUAAUGGCUCACCAAGGCGACGAUCGAUAGCUGGUCUGAGAGGAUGAUCAGCCACACUGGAACUGAGACACGGUCCAGACUCCUACGGGAGGCAGCAGUGGGGAAUAUUGGACAAUGGGCGCAAGCCUGAUCCAGCAAUGCCGCGUGUGUGAAGAAGGCC
rnacentral:rRNA from 1 species